GCCGCGGGGGCUCCCAUCCCAUCCGCCGCGGGCAGCCCGGCUCCAAGUGCCGCGUUAAUUACCAGCAACUCCCCCUGGGGAGAGCCAAAGCCAACUGGGGUCACCAUGGAAACCCAGACGGCUGCAGUGUGGCCAGAUUGUUAACGGGCUCCCGGCGAGCUCAGCCAAUUUCCUUUCUGGGGAAGCGGAGGAGGAGCGGGCCGGGGUCUUGCACCGCCGCGUGGGACUGGGAAGGCCCAGAAGGGGGGACGGCGGUUUUCCUGAAGCCGCUCUCCCUGGCUCUUCGGCCGUUCUCUCUCCGGCCUGUUGGGGAACACGGCGGUCUCCAGAGAAACAUUCUGGGUGUGCCAAAGGGCGACGCCAGGCAGCAGCAACAUGUGGAGCCAUAUGAAAAAACUGAGGCUGAGAAGCAGUAAAUAGCCUGCCCAAGGUCACACGGAGGAAAAAAAUGCCAGAGCUAUGACCCACACUGGAUCUGUAUAUCCAUCGCUUUUCCACGGGAUCCCUCUGCCUCCCCAGGGCAGUUGAAGGGUUAAGUAGCCCGGUGCAGGAGCAUUCUGCUUAUUAAACCCAUCCAUCAGCAGACCCAAGUAACCUCAUUCUGUCCUGCUAAGCAAGCGAGCUAGGCAGGUCAGCCAUGGACAGCCCGCAGGAGGAAUGGGG
rnacentral:lncRNA from 1 species